rnacentral:piRNA from 1 species
UAAUAGCAAGAGCCCAGCCCUCCUAGUUGGA